UAGUCUGGGAAACUGCCUGAUGGAGGGGGGUAACUACUGGAAACGGUAGCUAAUACCGCAUAAUGUCGCAAGACCAAAGUGGGGGACCUUCGGGGCCUCAUGCCAUCAGAUGUGCCCAGAUGGGAUUAGCUAGUAGGUGGGGUAAUGGCUCACCUAGGCGACGAUCCCUAGCUGGUCUGAGAGGAUGACCAGCCACACUGGAACUGAGACACGGUCCAG
rnacentral:rRNA from 1 species